CAUUAUUGAAUAAACUUGGUGGGCUGUCGCUGGCUUUACGAAGCAUGUGCACGCUUGCUGACUUUAUCCAUCCACCUGUGCACCCUUUGUAGUCUUGGAAGUUUGAAAGUAGCUAUGGGGGAACUUGGUUCUCCUGGGCUGCGAUCCCUUCUCUGACUAUGUUUUACAUACACUACGUAGCAUGUCACAGAAUGCAUUGAUAAGGCCUUUGUGCCUAUAAACAUCAAUACAACUUUCAGCAACGGAUCUCUUGGCUCUCGCAUCGAUGAAGAACGCAGCGAAAUGCGAUAAGUAAUGUGAAUUGCAGAAUUCAGUGAAUCAUCGAAUCUUUGAACGCACCUUGCGCUCCUUGGUAUUCCGAGGAGCAUGCCUGUUUGAGUGUCAUUUAAUUCUCAACCACACUUGGGUUGUUAAGGCCCAGGGUUUGUGGCUUGGAUAUGGGGGUACCUUUGCGGGCUUCAUUUAUGAAGUCGGCUCCCCUGAAAUGCAUUAGCGGAACCGUUUGCGGUCAGUCACCGGUGUGAUAACUAUCUACGCCCUAGACAAAGGCUGCUCUCUGUUUGUUCAGCUCAUAACUGUCCCUAUGGACAACUCUUGAACGUUUGACCUCAAAUCAGGUAGGACUACCCG
rnacentral:rRNA from 1 species